AUUGAACGCUGGCGGCAGGCUUAACACAUGCAAGUCGAGCGGAGAGAGGUAGCUUGCUACUGAUCUUAGCGGCGGACGGGUGAGUAAUGCUUAGGAAUCUGCCUAUUAGUGGGGGACAACAUUUCGAAAGGAAUGCUAAUACCGCAUACGUCCUACGGGAGAAAGCAGGGGAUCUUCGGACCUUGCGCUAAUAGAUGAGCCUAAGUCGGAUUAGCUAGUUGGUGGGGUAAAGGCCUACCAAGGCGACGAUCUGUAGCGGGUCUGAGAGGAUGAUCCGCCACACUGGGACUGAGACACGGCCCAGACUCCUACGGGAGGCAGCAGUGGGGAAUAUUGGACAAUGGGCGCAAGCCUGAUCCAGCCAUGCCGCGUGUGUGAAGAAGGCCUUAUGGUUGUAAAGCACUUUAAGCGGGGAGGAGGCUACUUUAGUUAAUACCUAGAGAUAGUGGACGUUACUCGCAGAAUAAGCACCGGCUAACUCUGUGCCAGCCGCCGCGGUAAAAC
rnacentral:rRNA from 1 species